rnacentral:rRNA from 1 species
GAAAGCAAGGGGAGGCAAACAGGGAUUAUAUACCAUGGGUAGUUCAAUAGCACGUAAACGAAGUUUGACCUUUAGGAGGUAAAUGACCUUGAGGCAGUGGCUUCCGGAGCUAAACGCGUUAAAUCGACCCCCUGGGGAGUACGGCCGCAAGGUUUAAACUCAAAUGAAUUGACGGGGGCCCGCACAAGCGGUGGAGCAUGUGGUUUAAUUUGAUGCAACGCGAAGAACCUUACCUGGUCUUGACAUCCACGGAAGUUUUCAGAGAUGAGAAUGUGCCUUCGGGAACCGUGAGACAGGUGCUGCAUGGCUGUCGUCAGCUCGUGUUGUGAAAUGUUGGGUUAAGUCCCGCAACGAGCGCAACCCUUAUCCUUUGUUGCCAGCGGUCCGGCCGGGAACUCAAAGGAGACUGCCAGUGAUAAACUGGAGGAAGGUGGGGAUGACGUCAAGUCAUCAUGGCCCUUACGACCAGGGCUACACACGUGCUACAAUGGCGCAUACAAAGAGAAGCGACCUCGCGAGAGCAAGCGGACCUCAUAAAGUGCGUCGUAGUCCGGAUUGGAGUCUGCAACUCGACUCCAUGAAGUCGGAAUCGCUAGUAAUCGUGGAUCAGAAUGCCACGGUGAAUACGUUCCCGGGCCUUGUACACACCGCCCGUCACACCAUGGGAGUGGGUUGCAAAAGAAGUAGGUAGCU